UAGGGAAUCUUCCGCAAUGGACGCAAGUCUGACGGAGCAACGCCGCGUGAGUGAAGAAGGAUUUCGGUUCGUAAAACUCUGUUGUUAGAGAAGAACAGCGCAUAGAGUAACUGUUAUGCGUGUGACGGUAUCUAACCAGAAAGCCACGGCUAACUACGUGCCAGCAGCCGCGGUAAUACGUAGGUGGCAAGCGUUGUCCGGAUUUAUUGGGCGUAAAGCGAGCGCAGGCGGUCAAUUAAGUCUGAUGUGAAAGCCCCCGGCUCAACCGGGGAGGGUCAUUGGAAACUGGUUGACUUGAGUGCAGAAGCGGAGAGUGGAAUUCCAUGUGGAGCGGUGAAAUGCGUAGAGAUAUGGAGGAACACCAGUGGCGAAGGCGACUCUCUGGUCUGUAACUGACGCUGAGGCUCGAAAGCGUGGGUAGCAAACAGG
rnacentral:rRNA from 1 species